UACGGGAGGCAGCAGUGAGGAAUAUUGGUCAAUGGGCGAGAGCCUGAACCAGCCAAGUAGCGUGCAGGACGACGGCCCUAUGGGUUGUAAACUGCUUUUGCGGGAGGAUAAAGUGCGCCACGCGUGGCGCUUUGCAGGUAUCCCGUGAAUAAGGACCGGCUAAUUCCGUGCCAGCAGCCGCGGUAAU
rnacentral:rRNA from 1 species